rnacentral:rRNA from 1 species
GAUGAACGCUGGCGGCGUGCCUAAUACAUGCAAGUCGUACGGAAAGGCCCUUCGGGGUACUCGAGUGGCGGACGGCUGAGUAACGCGUGGGAACGUGCCCCCAAGUGAGGGAUAACGCACCGAAAGGUGUGAUAAUACCGCAUAUGGUCUUCGGAUUAAAGAUUCGGCGCUUUGGGAGCGGCCCGCGUACGAUUAGAUAGUUGGUGAGGUAAUGGCUCACCAAGUCGACGAUCGUUAGCUGGUCUGAGAGGAUGAUCAGCCAGACUGGGACUGAGACACGGCCCAGACUCCUACGGGAGGCAGCAGUAAGGAAUCUUCCACAAUGGGGGCAACCCUGAUGGAGCAACGCCGCGUGCGGGAUGAAGGUUUUCGGAUCGUAAACUGCUUUUAUAAGUGAAGAAUAUGACGGUAACUUAUGAAUAAGGAUCGGCUAACUACGUGCCAGCCGCCGCGGUAACAC